GGCGUGAGGUGUUGGGUCUAGGGUUUAAACUUUAGAUUUUGUGAGCAGAAAAAUACAAGAAUGAGUCUUGUUCAAUCUCCCACACCACUACCUCCUUAUAAAGCUUCAUCUUCUGAUCUGGAGGAGUCUAGGAGAUCUAAAAAAAAGAGCUUGGAUCAGCCAUCUAGAGCCUUCGACGUAAGCUAGCACUCCCAUGAAGGAAGACCCGAUCGAGCAUCGAAUAGAUGAUCUAUAGAGG
rnacentral:lncRNA from 1 species